rnacentral:rRNA from 1 species
GACGAACGCUGGCGGCGUGCUUAACACAUGCAAGUCGAACGGAAAGGCCCUGCUUUUGUGGGGUGCUCGAGUGGCGAACGGGUGAGUAACACGUGAGUAACCUGCCCUUGACUUUGGGAUAACUUCAGGAAACUGGGGCUAAUACCGGAUAGGAGCUCCUGCUGCAUGGUGGGGGUUGGAAAGUUUCGGCGGUUGGGGAUGGACUCGCGGCUUAUCAGCUUGUUGGUGGGGGAGUGGCUUACCAAGGCUUUGACGGGUAGCCGGCCUGAGAGGGUGACCGGCCACAUUGGGACUGAGAUACGGCCCAGACUCCUACGGGAGGCAGCAGUGGGGAAUAUUGCACAAUGGGCGGAAGCCUGAUGCAGCAACGCCGCGUGCGGGAUGACGGCCUUCGGGUUGUAAGCCGCUUUCGCCUGUGACGAAGCGUGAGUGACGGUAAUGGGUAAAGAAGCACCAGCUAACUACGUG